AUUGAACGCUGGCGGCAGGCCUAACACAUGCAAGUCGAGCGGAGCGGCGGACGGGAGAGUAAUGCCUCGGAAUCUGCAUGGUAGUGGGGGAUCACGUCCGGAAACGGGCGCUAAUACAGAAUACUAUCACAUGAGCUUAGGUCGGAUUAGCUAGUGGGUGGGGUAAAGGACGACAAAGGCGAAGAUACGACACUGGUCUGAGCGGAUGAACAGUCACAUGGGAACUGGGACACGGUCCAGACUCCUACGGUAGGCAGCAGUGGGGAAUAUUGGACAAUGGGCGAAAGCCUGAUCCAGCCAGGCCGCGUGUGUGAAGAAGGUCUUCGGAUUGUAAAGCACUGUAAGUUGGGAGGCGUUACCAACAGAAUAAGCACCGGCUAACUUCGUGCCAGCAGCCGCGGUAAUAC
rnacentral:rRNA from 1 species